rnacentral:lncRNA from 1 species
UGGGUUCUCAUGGGCUGGUGCGCGAUCGGGUGGCUACGGAUAUGUAAAAAUAGUCAGUCAAAAUGAUUAGUUUAACUGAAACUUGGUUAGAUUAUUAGUUCUUAUCAAUAAUUGAAGAAAUAAAAGAAAGAGAUUAAAACUCUAAGUUUUAAAUGAAACGAUUUGGCAGGUGUUGGGUAUAAAAUACCUCCCAGCCGAAGUUCGUGAUGGGAAUGACCCUCCAGGGAUUCAACUGACUUUCGACCUCCGG